rnacentral:snoRNA from 1 species
CGGCGAUGAUGAAGGAAAUAUCCGCGCUUCUGAUACCCCGUGAAGUACAUCAGAUAUUAAUGGUUGAAUUUCUUCGGCUGAGUCG